GAGUCAUCAUGUGGGUAGUGAGGCCACCUAUACUGUAGGAACUCUAAUAGCCCCUCUGCUCCUUCAAAAGGCAAGUCCAGCUUAGAUGUUUUGCUAGCUGUGACAUUGCUCUUGAUGACUGUUGUGAACAGCCCCCACGGCGAAAAGUUCCUGAGAGGAUCUUCAUUUUGGAGCCCUGAGCCCAGGACUGUGCACAAGAGAUAAGGAUAAUGAGCUCUGACAUUCAGCAAUGAGUGAGGAUGACAUGGAAGAUCAUGGGGUUCUCUCCAAGGGUGGAAAUGCCAGCAGAGUGGGAAGAGGGUGAAGAGGUAACACAGCCUGCGAAGCCCAGGCUUUCCUCAUCAUGAUGAGGGAGCUGUGGGCUCCCUUGGUACUGAAGCUAUCACAAGUCUGCAGAUCCCAUGCACCAUCUACAACUUGGCCUCCUGACCUCAAGUACUGUUUCAUAAUGGGAUGCAGCACCGGUUCUUCUAAUAAAGAUGGACUUUCCUUGGCUCUUUCUGCUACUCUGAGAGUGUCAUGAUAGUUGGCCUUGUCCCAUAGUUGGGAUGUGGUAGAUGUAGGAGUAAAAGGUACCACUCUACGUUCUUUGCCACUGGAUGAAAACAUGGAAGAGGGAUACUCCUGAUGGUAUGAUAGUGUUUAAUCUGCUAUUUGCUUGAUAGUCUUUGCAUUUUUAAAAAUAUUUCCCCUUAUCACCAUUCCUGCCUUACAUGUAGAAUCCCUUAAUGUCACGCAUGGGCUGUGUUAACGCACUCCACUAUCCACAAUCUGACUUUCAAAAGCUAAAUUAUUAGUGUAAAUU
ensembl:lincRNA